rnacentral:rRNA from 1 species
UCGAGGAUCUUCGGCAAUGGGCGCAAGCCUGACCGAGCGACGCCGCGUGUGCGAUGAAGGCCUUCGGGUUGUAAAGCACUGUCGUGGGGGAGAAAACCCGCAAGGGUUGAUCGACCUCAGGAGGAAGCACGGGCUAAGUUCGUGCCAGCAGCCGCGGUAAGACGAACUGUGCUAACGUUAUUCGGAAUCACUGGGCUUAAAGGGCGCGUAGGCGGGCAAGCAAGUCGAAGGUGAAAUCCCACGGCUCAACCGUGGAAGUGCCCCCGAUACUGCUUGUCUGGAGGGAGAUAGGGGCGUGCGGAACUUCCGGUGGAGCGGUGAAAUGCGUAGAUAUCGGAAGGAACACCGGUGGCGAAAGCGGCGCGCUGGAUCUCUUCUGACGCUGAGGCGCGAAAGCCAGGGGAGCAAACGG